rnacentral:rRNA from 1 species
UACGUAGGGUGCAAGCGUUAAUCGGAAUUACUGGGCGUAAAGCGUGCGCAGGCGGUUUUGUAAGUCUGUCGUGAAAUCCCCGGGCUUAACCUGGGAAUGGCGAUGGAGACUGCAAGGCUAGAGUUUGGCAGAGGGGGGGUAGAAUUCCACGUGUAGCAGUGAAAUGCGUAGAGAUGUGGAGGAACACCGAUGGCGAAGGCAGCCCCCUGGGUCAAAAACUGACGCUCAUGCACGAAAGCGUGGGGAGCAAACAGG